AGCACAGCCUGUGUUGAGCGUACGGAUGUCAUUGAGUGGCGAGCAAAAUGGAUAAACACGGUGAAAGUUCAGAAAGUGAAGUUUCAAACAAUGAAACUGAAGAACUUGUACCGAAAAGAGGAGCGCUGUCUGUUGUUUGGAAGUUCUUCGGCUUGAAACGUCGAUCAAACAACAAUAUUCUGCAAAUGUUGGGCUAAAGUUGUAGCCGCAGGAGGCAACACAAGUAAUUUGCUUCACCACCUCAGCCACAAGCAUAUCCUGGAAUAACAAGAAUGCAAGAAACUACAAUCUGCAUCCUCCACAUCUGCAGGUAAAUCAUGCAUUCUGAUUCCUACACUUCAAUACUAGUAUGGACAUUAAUGUUUUCUACAAUAUUCACUCCUCAUGACAGUAAAAUAUGUCAUUCCAAGCCAAUUUACUGCAGUAAUUAUGCUGUAAAUUAUUAGAAAAUAAGGUUAACACCCAGUCCUGCUCGGAAAAAAAAAAAAAAAUACCGUCAAAUACCACGAAACCGAUAUAAUUUUGAAAAACACCGUAAUAUAAAUUUUUGGUCAUACCGCCCAGCACUGAUGUGCAGUGUUUCAU